GUGAGAAAACUGUUGAUAACGGCCGGUCAACGUGGACUGAGCGCACAAACCCGGAGGGCAGCGAUCAGCUUGGCAGUGAUUUUAAGCCCCAAAGAAUGAUCCCUGGGCUCUCCUGGUGAUGCCUGAAUUUACAGGGAGGGCAGGACCAGCUGAGGGGACUCUAAGGUCCAGGAAGAACCCCAGACACUGUAUGAAGAAGGGGGCUGUGAAAAGCAGGCAUGAACAAGGAAGACUGAAAUUCACACUCUGCAGUGUGAUGACGGUUCCAGACUCUCAGCUUCCAGGUCCUGCUAGUGAGGCUGAAGAAACACUGGAGCUCCUGGGAUCUCAUGGAGGUGCUGGAUGUGGGGAGGGAACUGAACCCAGGAACACGUCGGCAAUUAGAAUUGAUGUCAGCAGGUUAAUUAAACAAAAAAAUGCAAUAGUCUCUGUGAGGAUUAAGAACUAGAAUGUGACUACACAAUUCUCCCUGGUAGAAGAGGCUACUUCAUGCUGACACUCAGCAGCAUCUUCUUUCCUAUUCCCCAUUGACCAGGGAGGCCAAGACUCCACAUCGAGAAAAUCCAGAGACGUUCAUAAGAACUCAAGGAGACGUGGAAGAUUAAGUCAUGUGAUACUGAGGUCACUGAGCACUGCUUUAAACAAAGAAAUAAAAUUUUUAUAAAUUUCA